rnacentral:rRNA from 1 species
UACAGAGGUCCCAAGCGUUGUUCGGAUUCAUUGGGCGUAAAGGGUGCGUAGGCGGCGCGGUAAGUCGGGUGUGAAAUUUCGGAGCUUAACUCCGAAACUGCAUUCGAUACUGCCGUGCUUGAGGACUGGAGAGGAGACUGGAAUUUACGGUGUAGCAGUGAAAUGCGUAGAGAUCGUAAGGAAGACCAGUGGCGAAGGCGGGUCUCUGGGCCGAUACUGACGCUGAGGAGCGAAAGCGUGGGGAGCGAACAGG